rnacentral:rRNA from 1 species
GACGAACGCUGGCGGCGUGCUUAACACAUGCAAGUCGAACGGAAAGGCCCUGCUCUUGUGGGUUGCUCGUUUGGCGAACGGGUGAGUAACACGUGUGUAACCUGCCCUUGACUUUGGGAUAACUUCAGGAAACUGGGGCUAAUACCGGAUAUGAUCUCCUGCUGCAUGGUGGGGGUUGGAAAGUUUCGGCGGUUUGGGCUGGACUCGCGGGUUAUCAGCUUGUUGGUGGGGUAGUGGCUUACCAAGGCUUUGACGGAUAGCCGGCCUGAGAGGGUGAACGGCCACAUUGGGACUGCGAUAGGGACCAGAAUCCUACGGGAGGCAGCAGGGGGGAAUAUUGCACAAUGGGCGGAAGCCUGUUGCAGCAACGCCCGGUGCGGGAUGCCGGCCUAUGGGUGGUAAACCGCUUUCGAAGGUGACAAAGCGUGAGUGACGGUAAUGGGUAAAGAAGCACCGGCUAACUACGUG